rnacentral:lncRNA from 1 species
ACUGCUUAACUGCUACAUCACAACUGUAACAAAAUAGUUUAAUGAAUCUAAGCUAACUGGUUUCGUCAUUUGAUUUUCAGCUGUUUAUAACAAGGAAGAUGAUAUUGGAACCUAUACUAUCAAAGCGGUUGAUGAUCCCAGAACCUUGAACAAAAUCCUUUACAUUAAACCCCCUGGUAAUAUUUACUCAUUCAAUGAUCUUGUGUCCUUGUGGGAGAGAAAGAUUGGCAAAACCCUCGAAAGGGUGUACGUUCCGGAGGAGCAAGUCCUAAAGAAUAUUCAAGGUUAGCUAGAAUUCUUACUUUUUAAAUUUUAUCAAAGAGAGCAAUAAAUUUUGUGCCUUAUUAGUACUGCCUUCUCCGAAACGUUGCAGAAGCUGCACCUCCAGUCAAUGUGAUAUUAUCAAUUCAGCACUCUGCUUUCGUGAAGGGAGAUCAAACCAAAUUCCAGAUUGAACCAUCGUUUGGAGUUGAAGCCUCGCAGCUUUAUCCUCAAGUCAAGUACACUACAGUUGAUGAGUAUCUCAGUCAGUUUGUGUAACCCUUCUCUGUUGAGCUGCAGCUUGCAGGAUCUUGGGAAAUAAAUAAUUGGCUUGUUGCCAUCUUUGGUUUCUAUAUGUAAGCAUUAUGGUUGUUGGCCUUACUUUCGUUUGGUUCUCAAUGGAAUUUGUAACACGAUAUUAUGUCCGCUAUGUCAGUACACAGUGAUUAAAUAAAGUAGCUCCAUGUGCUUAAUCUAAAAAUAAUUAUAAAGUCACAAGCACCUAAAAGUUAAACAACAAUGAUAUGCUUACAACAAUGUGUACGACAUCUAAUACAACAAGGAUCAUUUUGCAAAAUAUGUUAAAUUUUAUUAAUUUCUUUGCUGCCCAAAGAUUUUUAUAUUCAUCUUAGGGACCUAUAAUCUUAAUGAAUCAUCUCUUCUUCCAUUUCUCCUACAUCUAUCCUUAAAGCCUUUUAAAGUUUUAACUAUUAUUUUAUAAACUUUUAAAUGAUUAUCAAACUUAUAUAGAUCUAUAAAUUCUAGAUGAGAUCCUAUAUUUAUGAUCAUUUACCUCUUUUGUAACAUGGACCAAAUUUUUUCUUUUAACAUUUCUAUACACACACACACACAUCUAUUUUUCCAACUAAGGAUUAUGUCAUCAAGGCUUUCACAGAGAGGUUGCAAUCUAAAUUUAGCUUCUUGAAUGAACAUAUUCAUAUUAUCAUUAUUAUUAUUCAUUAGUUAUGGUCGGUUUUGAGUUCUAUUAUUAGUUCUGCACCUAUCUUGUAUUAUUUCAAGACUAGACAAAAUUGAUUCCAUUAAUGCUAUCCUAUUUUCCUCUUCAAAGGAAUCAAAUACUUCUUGGUCGUUAUGGAUGUUAAUUCUUUUCAUUUCUUUGGACAAGCGCUUGCUUGCAUUCGAUCUGAUUUUAACAAUAGAAAUUGUAUAAACAACUUGAUAUUCUUAACUGAAAUAUAAAUUAUCAAUUGAAUCUAAAAACUUGUUAACAGAUGUUUCCAUUUUUUUGAAUUUGAGUUAAUCUUAUCACUUUUUUUCUUAUAAAAUCUCAAAAAACAAACAAGACCCAAUAUACUUCCGUUUGUUGCUAAAAUAAAAAAAAAGGUUCAAAAUUACUAUCUCUCGGAAUUCUAAGAUAGAUUCACUAAUUGCCUCCAACCAUAGAGAGGUCCAUAGUCAGCACUGCUAUAAGUCCACACAUCAUGUAAGAUCAACUUAGCAACUAUUCUACACGGCCUAAUGCAACACAUAGCAGUUUGGCCUUGUAAGAUAUGUCUAAGUGAAUUUCUUGCAAUUGUCUCUGGAAAAGUACUUAAUAACAAGAAAUCUUCCUCGUCUAACACAAGUAUUGGCCUGUAAGCUUCUUAGUUAAUUUCUAACAAAAUAUAUGAUAUCAGGAAGAUGAUAAUUUCACUUAAAAGAGUUUUUUAUUUAUUUUAUAACUAGAAAUGUUUGCAAAGGAAAGUCAUAGAGAAUACAAAUGUGGGUGAAGGUUUAGACAUAUGAUGUCCUCCAUUUCUUACAUGUUUCGAUUUAUAAGCUUGAAGAGAUAAUAUUAUCUCCUCUUACAUGACACUUGUUAAAUUUUUCUAGUGGAUUGUGGAUUCCUUUAUGAUAAGGUGACCCCUAUCUUCUUCUAUCAUUAAAGACAUAUGUUGUCAUCUUUUUCUUAUUGACUAGCAGCCUUCACAUGGUUAUGAUAAGCUUUAUCUUUUUGGAAUCUUUUCUUAUCUUUUCACAUGCCAAUUAUCAGUUCUUCAUCUAGCGGCAUGUCUUCCCCAUUAGAUUCCCAUUUUGAUCCUUUGUAGCAAUAACCAUAUGAUGACUGAUGAUUUAGCACCUUGCAUACCUCGUGGUGUGUUAGCAAGCUAGAUUCCACGAGAUUUUCAUAGAUUGCAUUUUUCUGUUUUAGUAUUGCCUAUUGUUGGAUAUAAAUUCAAUUGUUAGUGGUGUCAAUGUGCAAGUGUACACAACAAGUAGUAAAGUGAUGAGUAAUCAAGAUCGUAUCCAUAGGGAUUGAUGUUAUUAGACUUACUACAACAAUCUUAACAGUGCAGAUUUUUUUUCUAAAUUAAAAUAAAUAAUUGAUGAAACUAAUGUACUAAUUAAAAUAAAAACACAAUAAAUAAAAUGCAAUAAAGUAGAUUAUCACGUCAAAUUCAAGGAUAAAACCAAUGGGAAUAUAGAAUAGUUUAGUGAAUAAACUCUCUUAAUGGUCUUGACUAUUUUCUAAUGUUUGGCUCGGUUGUUGCAGCAUCUGCUAUAGCACUGGGAAGAAUCCUUAUGUAUCCUCAGCUGUCGCAUGUUGGAUGUCUUAUAUCUAUAUGCAACUUAAUAGUGAUCAAUUGUUAUGCCAACAUAAGAUAUAGCAUUACACGUUUAGGUUUUAAUUACCCUACAAGAUUGAUUAACACUAAAAAGUGUACGUGUAAUAAGGAUAAAAUUAUUAGUUUUUCACUUAAAGUGUUGAUUAAUGCACGCAUAACUUAUAAAUUAUAUGAAUGCACCCCAAAUAAAUUUUUGUGUUAAAUUAAUUCGCAAUAUGUUAAUUUUUAUCUUAUAAAUAUUUUUCAGGAAUAAAUUAGAAUUGAAAGCGGGAACAAAGAAGGACUGCUGGAGCAAUUUGGAAGCAUUAUUGAGGAGAUGUAAAUAAAGAAAAAAAUAAAAAAUAAAAAAUAAAAAAUAAAAAAUAAAAUAUAAAAAAGAAAAUGAAUAAAAAAAAUAAAAAAAGAACAAAAACCAAGCAAUUUAGUUUCUCAUGAUGGCCACUUGACCAUUACACAUUUCAAUGUACACAUAUAAUAAUAAUAAUAAUAAUAAUAAUAAUAAUAAUAAUAAUAAUAAUAAAAUAAAUAAAGAUAAUGCAUUCCUUGCCUAUAAAAGGCAAGGAAAAGCAGAGAGCUGGGCAUUGAGAAGUUAGAGAACUGAGUAGAGACAGCUUAAGCCGAAAGAGAAUAGAGUGCAGCUGAGGAAUUGUGUCUUUUUCUUCUUUUGUUGUAAUCAACUUUCUUGUAACGUAUUUCCAAAGUUUAUCAAAUAAAUAGAGUGUUGUAUUUUCUUUCAGUAUGAAUGACUAAUUUUAUUAAGCUGAGGUGAAGAGUGAAGCUCAAUAUUUCAAACUAUUAAAUUUAUUAUUUUCUCAAAUGAGUUUUAAAGUUUAUUUUGUUCUUUUCUAGUUAUUUUUAUGUCAUGUUAAUUUAGAAAUUUCUUUAGGAUUUGUAUAGUAUUUUGACACAAUGUCGACACAUUAAUAUAGUGUGGCAUAUUAGGUACUUUAUUCCAUAUUUAUCCACACACAUAGAAUUAAAUGAUAUAAUAAUUAACUGGUAAAAGUGAGGUAAAAUAUAAAUGCGAGAGUAUUAAAAUUAUAGUUUGAAUACUGAGAGUGGAUAUUGUAACCUUAGUAUAUUUUUAAAUUGUUUUCAAAUAAUUUAUUUUCCCACAAUUAAUUUUCUUUGUUUAAUAAAUUGACAACUAGAUUUUAAAAUUUCCUAUGGUUCGACCCCGGACUCACGGGUUAUAUUAUAAUUAGACACUCUUAUACUUGGGAGUAAUACACUUUUAAGUUGUGUCAAAGGUGAAUCUCUAUGUCUAGUUCAUCACUAAUUUUAGAUUAAGCAUGACCCUUUUGGGAUUAAAUAAAACUCAAUCCAAGAAACCCAAUCUAAUACCAAGUAUUGCUAUGAUAUGCUUCACUAAGAUAAGCCCUUGUGUGGCUCUUUUUUAGCUAGUAUCAUUAAAUGGGUGAUCAACCGAAAUAAAUAAAAAUAAAUAUUAUCAAAAUAAAAUAUUACAGCAAACAUGCAGCAACUCAUAUAUUCAGUCAAUAAACCAUCAAAAUUGCUUAUCACUCAACCACAAAUAAAUCUAGUUCACGGUUUGAAAAAGAAAAAUAAAGAACAAAGUUUUAGCCAUCAAACACAUUCCCAUGAAUAAAAAGUAAACAUGAAAAUAAGAGAAGAAUAAAAAGGACUGAGUUCCCGCUUGAUUUCUACAAAUUCUCCUCUUGUGCAGCCCUUAAUCUCUCUCUUAAAUUUUUUUUUCUUUUGUUUCUUUGUGGUUUUUCUCCUUGGGUGACAGCUCUUUCUUUUCAUUAUGAUGUGUGCUCCUUUUGUAGUUGAAAAUUAGGGUAAACAGAAGCAUAGGUCGUGCAUAAGUCAGAUUAGGAAAUUGCAAAUCACAAUAUUCUGUAAAAUUUUCUCUGUCAUCGUUCCAGAAUUGCUACAGCAACGAAUGUUAUGCUGCAGCAACGAUUGCUACAGUAAUUACUACAACAACUGCACUGUUCUAGAUUUAUUUCAAUUCUUCUGUAGUCAAGUUCUUUUUCAUCUUUUACAAGACUAUUACAACAACAUUCCUUUCUUGAAAUUUGAGCUUCCGGUCACCUACAAUUAUGCAUAUAAUUUAAGCACACAAUUUAUUCUAAAUCAAACAAAAUUUAUGAAGAAUAAACUAAGAUGAAUGAUUAUGCAAAAUAUAACUAAAAUGCAAUAAAAAAACAUGUUAUUUACUCUCAAAGUAAUCUUGAUUUAAGUCUAAAAGUGUCAUGAUAACUCUCAUUUUAUAAAGUUAUCACCUAUCUGGCUAAGAUACUUUCUUUUCUACUAAAAAAAAAGAUUAUAUGGUCCUUUGUGGCUUCAUGGAGCCAUAUUUUUUUCUUACUUAUCCUCUCGAGAAAUUCAUGGAGGACUUUCAUUUAAAUGAUCUCUUUGCUCGUGAGAGCUUUAGGCUCGAAUAGUUUGGGAUAAUAAUCAUUGUAGACCUGACCUACAUCAACAGUUGGACUAACUUUUUUACUACUAAUCCCAACUUAUAUCUAUGUGCUGCACUGGAUACCAUUUGUUAUUACAGUGUUCAGGGAAAGCAGUGAGAAUCUUGAAAAAAAUCAUAUCUCUUGUUUUAGAUAUUCUUUUGAGAUCACUGACAGCCUUUGUAAUUUUUUCGGGGAGCUUUUUUAAUUCCCUACAUAAACAAGGUUAAAAAAACUAUAUUCAAACAUUUCUUUUAUUAAUUUUGCAUCAGCUUCUGGACCAAAGUUAAUCCUUAGGUAAUAUCCUAAAUGAUUCGGUAUUAUAGCUUGGCUAGGACAAAUCCCAUAGGCUAUUUUACCAAUUAUUUUACAAUCAUAAGUGUAAUUGCUUCCUAGUGGAAUUUUAACCAUUAGAAUGGAUUGUUCGCUUUUAUCAUAUUGAGGCCUUAAGCUCACUGAAGAGGUUUAAGAUUCUUUUUUCUUUUGAGUUAUAUGAAGAACUCUAGGUAGUCUGCCCUUCAGUUUGAUCCUUGAAAUGGAUCUUUUUUAGCUUAUUACUAAUAUAUUGUUAUAAAGUCUGGACUUCUGGAUGAUUUUGCAAACUUUUGUCAGGGCAAAGUCAGCUCAAUUCUUCAUGGGCAGCAUUAAUCAUGACAAGCCCAUCAUAAAUCAUACUAUUGCCUUUGAGAAGCAAUUCUUGUCCUUUAGAGCACAUCAUUAUGCCCUUAAUUAUUUCGGAAAGACUCCUCUCCAUGUAUUCUCGGCUAAGAAAAUCUGCAAUACAAGGGUUAGGUCAUUUAAUAUAUUCAAUUCAAAAAUCAUAUUUAGUAAAGAACUGCCGCCAUCUAAUUAAUCUUUUAUAUUAAGGGAGAUUAGACAAUUUAUUAAAUAUAAAUCCUUUGACUCAAGUGUUAUUAGAUCUUACCUUGAAUUUCUUUGGUAGCAAAAAGAAAGUAAAUUUAGUUAUUCCAUUUUUAAAUAUAAAUGUUUCGCUGACAUAUCUGCAAAUCUUUUCUUGAUCUAUUUUUAAAACUGCACCCCAAUGAUUAUCUGAAGCAUUAGUUUCAAGAAUUAAAUUAUCACUAGUGGUAGGAAAUCCUAAUCUUGGUAGAUUUUUACAUUUUUCUUUUAAUCUUUUUCCCACUUUGGUAUAAAGAUCUUCCCAUGAUUUUAUAUUGUUCUUUUUUAAUAAUCCUUGUGAAAGUUGUUUUUCUUUAACUAAGUUUUAUAUGAAACCUUCAGCAUAAUUAAGGCAUCCUAAAUAUCUUUGAAUUUGUUCUUUAGAUUCUAAUUUAUCUAGGAAUAAAUAUAUAUUUUCAAAAAUAUGAGGUUGCAUCUCAAUACCUAUUUCAUCUAUUAUUAAUCCUAGAAAUUCUAUUCUAGGUUUCAUUAUUUCGGCUUUCUUUUUAGAAAGUAAUAUUCCAUGUUUCUUUCAUUUUUCUGUAAAAGAAACGAGAUGAUUAAUAUGAUCUAUCUCAUUAUCUAAAUAUAUUAGAAUAUCAUCCAUAUAAACAAUGCAAAAUUCAUGAAAUUCUUUGAAGAUUUUAUCCAUCCUUCUUUGAAAUAUUUGUGGUGCAUUUUUUAAUCUAAAAAGCAUCACAAUCCAUUUAUAUUGUCCUUAAGGUGUACUAAAGGCAGUAAGUGGUAAUACUCUCUUCUACAAGUUUGAUUUGCCAAAAUCCAUAUUUGCAAUCAAACUUGCUAAAUAUCUUUUUAUUAAUUACAAAGGUAAUUAAUAUAUUUUUAUGAGGUAAAAAGUAUCCAUCAAAUUUGGUAUAUUUAUUUAAUUAUUUGUAGUUAAUAACCAUACGAGCUUUUCCUCAUUUAAUCUCUACAUGAUUCCUAAUCAUAAAGAUUGUACUACUAUGAGGACUUUUAAAUUAUCGAAAAAUCUUAAGUUCUAAUCUCUUUAAUUUGUUUAUCAAUUUUUUGUCUAUCUUCUUGCCCAUAUCUCAUAGGCUUAACACAUAUAAUAACAUUUGGAUCUUUUAAUUCGAUCUUAUCAUAUGCUUUAUCAAUUUCCCAUAAUUGAAUGGGGUUUUCACCAAAAUUUUUAUCAAGUUUUUCUAAAUUUUUUUCAUAAUUUGAUAUGAUUUGAUUGAUUUUUAUAGCAUAAUUACCACGCUAGUUGUGUUGAAAAUGUAAUUUUUGAGUUGUUCACCUAACAGGGUUAUAAAUUCUUGGUGUAGUAACGGAAUGAUUACAUGAUGUUUUAAGAAUAAUUAUUUCGUUAGUCAUUGUAUAAAUGAACUGAUGAAGGAAAUUAAUUCCUAAAAGUAUAUCUACACAUAUAUGAUCAUAAGACCAUAAUAUAGGGAUACUUAGGAUAUAAUCUUCUAUUUGGAUUAAAGUCUUAAUCCUACAUGUCCUUAAGGUGAUCUAUUUAACAUUUAUUCCUUGUCCUGUUAAAGGCUUAUAAUCUUUCCAAUAUGAUUUUGGAUAAAACCUAGAAUUAGCUAAACUAACUCUUGAACCAGUAAUAAUUAAAGCAUGAAACCAUUCUCGCUUAUGCUUAUAGUAUGGUAUGAUCAUUUUUAUAUGAACUACAAAAAGAUUAGACAUAUCUUGAUAUGGUUUGCUUAAUCCCUUCAAUUGUUAUGCUUAUUUCUCUAUCUCUUAUGCAAUAAGGAGAGAAAUUUUCAAAAAAAAUUCAUCCCUAAUAAUAAAGGAUUUAUUUUUGUUUCAUAAUUUGAUUCUAUGAAAAAAAGAAAGAUAAAUUCUAUUCCUUUUAUUCUUAAUGGUAUUUCACACUACUGACUUAAUGUCUUUCUUUCUCCAUUAAAGCCUACAUAUGUAUGAGGUUCAAUUAGAAUCUUUCUUUCUAAAUAUUUAAUCAUUUUGGCAUCAGCAUAAGAUUUUACUACUCCUGUAUCAAGGAUAGCAAAAGUCUCAUGGCAUGAUUUUCUAUUAUUCUAUUCAAUCUUGAUUUUUAAGUUUUGAUUAUUUUUCUAACUGUGGCCGAUAUUUCAUGUGAUAGUGGUAUGACAAGAUGGUUACAUCUAGUAUAACUUUGGGUUCUACUUAAUUAUGGUUCUAUUUUGAGUAUAGAGAAUGAUCUUCUAUUUCCUAUGAUGAUUCUUCCUUCUAGAGUAUAUUCUAUGGGUUUAGUAGUAUUUCCCCUUAUCAGAGUAGGUUGACUACUUAGAUCCAUUUCCCAUUCUUCUGGUAAAUUUAUUUCUCUUAAAAUUUUAAGAGAUUGUGUCAUUCCAACUUUCUUAACUAAUUUAUCUAUUUCAAUAAAAUCUUUAUUAGCAAACAUUUCACUAUUGGCUGAAUUUGUUAAUGCAUAUUCUAUGGCAUACGUUAUGCUAUAUGGAUAAGAUCUAUCAUGCAUUAUAUCAAAGUAUUUAAAAUUACGGCAUAAGGUUAAUUUAUUUAUAUUUCUAUCUCUAAAACUUAUAGAAUAUAUGGAAUAUAUCUUAAAUAUCAAUUUUUUUUUUAUAACUCAAGUUCUUUAUAUUAUUCCAAGGAGUGCAUGUUUUCGAUCUUUUAUUCUAUUAUCAAGUACUGCUAAAUUUACAGGACUAUCUAUUUCUUUUCGAAAAUGAGCUUUUAUCAUGACUUGGAUUCUUCCAAUAUGGACAUAUCCAAUCUUAGGUCUGUCGCUAGAUUUUAUCUUUUAUAUCAGAUUUUAAUAAUAAUGGUAUAUUUUGUAUUUCCCCUAGCAUACCUAAUUUCAACAAGCUCUUCUCACACAGUAGCACUAGAAUACGUUAUAUUUUUUCUUUUAAUCAUGUUAGCAAUUCCUUGUGCUAACUUAUUAAUUGAAGUCAUGGAUGAUUCUAAUCCUUUUUUUUUAAUCUUAAGGUAUUGUUUUUUUUAUCAAAGAUUAAUUCUCUAUUAAAAGAACCUUAUUCAUUAAUUCUCUAUUAAAAGAACCUUAUUCUUCUAAUUCUUCAUCCUGAUAUAAAUCUUUAUUAUCUUGUUCUUCUAUACUCAUUCUGAAUCUGAACUACUUGAAGUUUCUUCAGAAAGAUAAUAUAUAUUAUCGUUUUCACUAAUAUCUUCUCUAUUUGUAAUUAAUUCUAAAUUGUUGAAAUCCUCAAACAUCUUUAUGUUUGCUUUCUUCUUUUUAGGACAUUCGUUUGCAUAAUGCCUAUCGUCAUUGCAUAACCAACAUUUAGAUGCAUUGGUCUUAGAUUUUCUUUUAAAUUUAUUUUUCUUGUAGAAUUUCUUCUUAUAUUUACUUUUGUUGUAAUAUUUCUUGUUGGUUUUAAAGAAUUUCUUCCUACGUUCAUAGAUUUUAUCUGAACAUCCAAAUCUUGGUGGAUCUUCUAACUUAGAACAACAUAAUCCUCGAUUUUGCUUUUUUAUAAGUCUUUUAUCUCUUAUUUCAGCACACCAUUCGCUGAUUCUAUUUCCAGUAAAUCUGAUCUUAUUUCCUAAGGUAUUAGUUUUCGUUGUAUCUUCAUAUUUCUUGUUAUAUUCUAACAUAAUCUUUUUCCCCUAUAGGUCUGGUAUCUUUAUAAAAUAUAGAUCAUUAUAAUAGCAUAUGAUAUUUUCAUGUUUAUCAAAUUCACAUUUAUAAUAUAAUUUUUCGAGGCUACAUGUGUAUUCUUCUAAAUAACAUAUAUUACAUAUUUUAAGCCUUAUUAGCUUUAUUACAUUUUCCAUCAUUUUCCUCUUUAUUUCCUGUUGAAAAUUAGUUUCCUAAUCUUCUCCUAAGAAUUCUUUCCUUAUUUCAUUUUCAAAUUUAUUUACGACUUGAUCCAAGCUUUCGUCAUGAUCAUUAUUUUCUCCAUAUAAUAUUUUAUUUUUGUCGGUAUCCUUUAAUUCCAUAAACCAAUGUGACACUAUUCCUAUAAACGAAGUUUUAAGAAAUCCUAUACCAUUAUUUCUAUCUAUUUUGUUAAAUGCAAAUGCCUUUUUCAUAGAUUUAACCCAAGCGGUAAUCGUUUAGUCUCUAUCUUUGACACAGUCUAAAUCCAACCAUACUCCAUCAUAGUUGAUUGGUCUGUCUCUGUAUUCUCUUGGAGUUUUAUAUAUAUUUUUUUAGGUUUGUUAACCCUAAAAUAUUGACCUUGUGGUUUUCAUGAGUUGGUAUUUCUUUCCUAGCAUAGGAACCUCUAUUACUAGAUUCCCUUUGUUCAAAGACCCUUGGCUUUGAUUCAUUCAUUUUUAAAUGUUCUAUUCUAUUUUCAAUAUCUUGUAAGUUAAUAAAUACAUCUUCUUCCUCUUCAGAUUCAUAUUCUUUAUCGGAUAUCUCUGGAUUAGAUAAUUCUUUUAAUCCAUUAUCUAUAUUUUCACUUAACAUCCUUAAACUUAUUAAUUUUUAUCUUCAUUUAUUUUGUUAAAUAUUGGUCUUGAUAUUGCUACCAUUUUUUUAUUUUUCUUUUCAUCGUAGUAAAUUAUGGUAUCUUCUAAAAUUUUAUUUUUUUCUUGAAUUACCAUGAGUAGUUCUUCCAUAUUGUUACUAAUCUUUUGUACUUCAAUCCUUUUGUAAUUUUCCAUUUAUACUUAUUGCAAACUUGUUACCAAGUUGUUCAAUGAUUUUUUCAAUUUUAUAUAAUUGAAUUUCUAUCUUAUUUAAUUUAUCUUCAAUUAAAUUUUUGUUCAUGACAUUAAAGAUUUCUUGUCUGAAUCUAAUCUUAAUCUUCAAUUUUGAAGUCUUUUAUUAAUUGUUUGACUGAAUCAAAUUCUUCACUUAUUUAAUCUCCUAACAUUUUAAUUUAUCUUAUAUUUUGAGCAUUAAAACUUUUAAUUUCAAGUAUUUCAUUUGUACUUUCUAUAUCAUUUAUGGUUAAAUUAUGAUUUCCUAAUUUAUUUAAUAAACAUAGUGAAAUCCAGUUUAACUGAUUAUUUCCCCAAAAAUCAGAAUCAUUUACCAAAUUAAAUGGUUGAAAUCUUCUAUAAGUAAAUUCUCUAUGCCUACAACUAGACGGUGGAAAUUUAUAGGUUUCUAUGUUUUGUGAAAUUAUCAAUGGUUCUAUAAUUUAUUCAUAGUACCAUCUGCAUAAUAUUUCAUUAUAUGCUAACAAGUAUUUGUGACAUAUAAUAUCUCUUAUAUCGUUAGGAAUAUUGUUUUCUUCUAAUCCUUUAUAUAUAUAGCAAUAUACAUAAUAAAAUUUUUAUAUCCUAUCAGCAUGUUACUAGAAGGAUAGUAUUUACUUCUAAUCCUUUUAUUAUUCCAAUUGUAUUCAUUUCUUUGCUUAAUAGUUAAAAAUAUAUUAUAAUCAAUCACAAGUUCGUCUGUAUAAUUCUCAACAGAAUUAAUAUUCCAUUUUUUUUCAUGAAAAAUUAUUUCUAUAAACCUCUCUCCUAGUUCUCAAUAGGAGAAUAUGAUCUAUGUUUAAAUUUCUAUUCUUUAUUAUUAUGAGUUCUCCAAUUCUAAAUUCAUGAACUUGGGAUAAAUACAAUUGUUCUAAUUGUUUAUCAUCCAAUCUAUUUUGUUUUGAAUAAUAAUAUUGUGUAUGUUUAGUUAUGUUAUCCUUAAUUGUAUUACUAUCUAUCAUUAGAUUCUAUCCUCCAUUAUUUAUAAAAUAAACAAUCGUUUCUUCCAUUUUUAUAUUUUGAACCUAAAACUUGCCUUUGAUACCAAUUUUGCGAAUAUUUUUCAACCCAAAAUUCAAAUAAGGAUGUAAAUGAUUAAUUUUUAAAACUUUAUGAAUGCUUUGUAAUUUUGUUUUAUUAAAAGACAGUUUUAUGCAAAGUAUUGUGCAAUCUUUUGGAAGAUUGUCUUUUUCCGAAGUUAAAAGUAAUUCAUCAAUAUUUGACAUGUCAAACGCAGAAAUUAAAAGUAAUUCAUCAACAUUUGUCGUGUCAAAUUUACUUUAUGGAGGAGAAAUUGUAGGAACCAAUUUUAUGGGAUAGAAAAUUCUAGAAAUCCAAUCGAAAGAUAUUUAAUAAAUAAUUUUGUAGUAGAUUAUGUUAAAUAUAAUAUAUAAUAAAUCCAUGAGUUGUCACUCAUGACAAUUCAAUUAUUUAGUUUUGACUAACAAUAUUAUUACGUAUAACGUUAAUAUAACAUAGCAUGAGCCAUUUUAUAGUAUUAUUUUAACUGAAUUGAAAUUCUCGAAAUAAAAAAUUGAAAAGAAUGAACCUGGUGGUUGUUGUGAACCAAAAACAAGCCAGUAUUAUGCUUACAUCAUUCCAUUCUACAGUAAAGGUUAUUUAUAAUCAUAAUUAUAGCACCAAAUUAAUUGUAUUAUUAUAAGAGGUUAUAACUUAAUAGAUGUGUAAUUAUAAAAAUUAUUAUUUUAACUUAAUUAUUUUUAGUGCCAGUGAUAUGGAGACCAAAUAUGCACUAUAUUGAUAAUUAAUUAAUGUAGCAUGUCAAAUUCAAUUUAUAGACAAUAAUGAAAGAGAUACACAUAUUUAAAAAAACUAGUACGUAUAUUAUGUAAUAUUGGAAUUAUGCAAAUUUAUCUUGAAAGUUUAAAGAAUAAAUCAUUGUCCUAAAUAAUUUUAGAAAGUUAUUUUACUCCAUCUUAAACCUUUAAUACAACAUGGCAUUUUUUUUUAACAAUAUACCAAUAAUUAUUAUUAUAUAAAGGCAAAUUUCUUAAAAUCAUAUUUAAAAAAAUUAUAAUUCAUUAUAAUAUAGAGUUUAUUCUUAUUUAUAACUACUAGGCUUAAUAAUAGAACGAGUUGUACCCGAGCCAUGCCAAGACCUAGCCCAACCCUAUGACUAGAAUGAAGGGAUCUUUUUAUCAUUAUAAUAACUACCUUUCAUCAAUUUUUUUUUUAAAACUAUAUAAAGAUUAUUCUUACAUGAAGUAACAAUACAAGGCCCUCAUUAAGAAAUGAACCUGGACGACAUUAGGGCCUUUAUCCACAAACAAAAUUUCAAAACAUACUUAAAAAAAAAAAUCCAACACAUCCGUUAAGUACAACUUUAACAUGGUCACAUGAAAUUUGUGGGGUUAAUUUAUUUAAUUGUAUGCACCCGUUUGGUUUCAUUGAUCUCAUGGCUCAGGUUGAUAGUUAUUAAGUUAUGAGUCAUGAUUACCUAAAAUUUAUUUGGUUAUCCGUUAUUCUAAUGUUGUAUUUAAACCAUAAAACUAGAGAUAACAAAAUUUAUGAGAAGUUUUGUCUUAUCACAAUGUCUAUUACUGAAGAACGUAGUCCUCUUGAAUAACCAUGAUAAUUUAUUUAAUUUCUUUUGCUCUAUCUUAAACAUAUUAUAAUUGUAGUCAAAGUUUUGAUAGUAAAAAUAUAAAUAAAUAGAUAAAACAAAUGUGUCUAUUUCCAUAACUAAAGGGGUGUAUAUAUACAUUUGGACCAACCGAUAAAAUUUAGAUCAUGACAUUAGGUGAAAAUAAUCUUAUUUUAUUUUCUUUAGAUUAUGUUGGAGUUGUAACUUGCAAUCGAACAAUUCUCGAUUGAUUUAACAAAUGACCUUAAGGCCAUGUUUGCUUGGGGUAGAGAAGUGGGGAGAGGAAAAGAAUUUGAUUUCUUUUAUACUUUCCAUUGUUUGGUUAGACUAAAUUUAAUGGAAUUGAAUUUCCAUCAAUUUGAAGAAUUUGUAUUCCUUAUCAAUGAAUAAGGAUUUCAAAUUCCUUAUCUAUUUAAACACAAAAAUUCUAAUAUUAUCCUCUAAACAAAAUCAAUUUUAAAUAAAUGAAAGUAAAAAUAAUUUAUAUUUAUUUUCUUAAAUUAAUAGAAUAAACUUAUUUGAAAAAAGAAAAAACAGUAAAGGGACUCCCCAAAAAGUCACCGGAGUUUCGCCGGAGACGCGCUUUACCAUCAAAACCGGUACCGAUGGAAUCCUUAUGAGUCAAUCUACAACUCUAUGGGGUUAGAAAUGCUAAUAUACAUUGUUAUUUACCUCAAGUCUUAUUUAAAUGUUUGGGAAAAUUUUAACUCUCAUAUUUCCAACUAUAUAGUGUAUUUUCUUCAAAAUUAACAUUUCUAAUGAGUAAAUCAUCCAUUUAUGAUCAUUAUUAUGCAUUUAACGCGAUGAAAAAUGGAGGUCAAUGAUGGUCAAUGGCACCGGUCAAUGGUGGUUAAUGGAGGUCAACGUGGCAGCUGUCCAUGGCCAAAUGCUGUCAUUUUUAAAAAAAAUAAAAUUUUUUAUUUAAUUAGGUAAUUUUUAGAUUAAAUUAAUUCAUAAUUUUAUUAUGUUUUAAUUUAUUAACAAUAUUAACAUUAAAGAUAGUGGGUAUAUAUUUGUCCAAAUAAAAAAUAUGUAAUUUCUUUUCCUUUUAAAUUUUAUGUGAAACCAAACAAUAACAAUUAAUUUUUGUACUCUUUUCCUCUCACCACCUCUCCAUUCCUCUUUUUUUUUUUUUUUUUCUCCUCUCCUCUCCUCCCAUUUCUUAAAACCAAACACCUCCUUCUUAGGAGGUGUUUGGUUUUGUAAAAUGAAAAAUUCUAUAAAUAUGAUUUUGUUGAAGCCUUAAAUAAACCAUACAGUCUGUGCCGCGUAGAAUGGGAUACAGAAUUUUGUAUUUAGCUUGCAUGCAAAAUGCAACAUGCUUACGUGUGUCUAAUUUUCUAAAUAUCUCAUCCAUGCGGCAGCUAGCUUAGCCUUUUUAUAUUGAAUAAUUGAUCAUACAAGUGUAGUUUGUUAGUUUUACGCAACCCACGUAAAUCAAUUUUAUUACGCAAGAAUUAUUGAGAAAUCGCAAAUUAAGUUGAACUGGUCCAUGGUCAGAUGGUCUCGUCUCGUCUCGUCUCACCACUUGGUAUUGAUGCCAUGGGAAAAGAGUAGUUGGUUACUUGAUUUUUUAGACUUGGGGUGGCAUUGAAAAAGAUUGUUGAAAAGGAAUCGAGUGAAUCAAAUCGAAUUAGUUUGUCUUUCUGUACAAUACAUCCCCCAUUAUCUAGCUUAUUCAGUCUUGAGAAUUAUUAUCUGAUUUUGAUCCCCCAUUUAAACUUUUUGCCAAGACUAUCCUAGAAAUUGAUUUGUUUAUCAUUGCUUCUUGGUCCUUACGGUCUUUUAUGAAUCACAAUCAAUUUAAUCAUACAUAAAAAUACGGGUACAAGCUGGUUAGCUUACACGCUUCCUAUAUAAGAAAGGUACGGGAAUCAGAUUCAAAAUAUCCAUCCAUUCAUAAUUUAAAAAAAAAAAAAAAAAACUCCGGAAUUGAACUGAACGAGUUUCAGACAUGGCAUCGAAAUCCAAGAUUCUAUCCAUCGGCGGGACAGGGUAUAUCGGUAAAUUCAUCGUGGAAGCAAGCGUUAAAGCUGGUCACCAGACACCAGACGUUCGUGCUCGUGAGAGAAUCCACACUCUCUGAUCCCUCCAAAUCUCAACUCCUCGACCACUUCAAAAACCUCGGCGUCAAUUUCGUUAUCGUGAGUUAUCAUUUUUUUAUUUUUUUAAUUCCAUUAUUUUGACCCGUGGCAGUGUAGUAUCUACUUGAAAGACUUAGUAUUUUUAUUUUAUUUUAUUUUAUUGGGUGCCGUUAUUAUUAUGCAGGGAGAUGUUUUGAAUCAGGAGAGUUUGGUUAAGGCGAUAAAACAAGUGGACGUGGUGAUAUCAACAGUUGGUCACACUUUAAUAGCCGAUCAGGUCAAGAUUAUUGCUGCCAUUAAAGAAGCCGGCAACGUUAAGGUAUGACAUAAUUAUAAAUAUCUUGGAUCAGGAUUGUGCACUUGCGCACACGUGGUGAUUUAUUAUUGGCGUGGAGCUCGUUGUAGACUAGAGCUCCCUGUUCCGCCAAUAAACACCCGCUACAUGCACAAUUGCGCCCUCAAGAUAAUUUAAUUAACUAAUUAAUUAUAAACACCUAUGGCGUGAAUGCAACUAAAAGUAGCUGAUGUUUGUAAAUUAUUUAUUAUUCAGAGAUUCUUCCCGUCGGAAUUUGGGAUUGAUGAUGAUCGAAUCCAGGGCGCCGUAGAGCCAGCAAAAUCAACGUAUGUCGUAAAGGCGAAAAUCCGCCGAGCCGUUGAGGCAGAAGGCAUUCCGUAUACUUAUGUAGCAUCGUACUGUUUGAAUGGCCACUUCCUUCCCAAUUUGUCGCAGCCUGAGGCCACUGCCCCCCCUAGGGAUAAGGUCGUCAUCUUAGGUGAUGGAAAUCCAAAAGGUAAAAUAAAUUAAUUAAGCUCAUUGUUUUUAAUAAGAUUGUUGAAAAUAACCAUGUUUAAGGCUCCGUUUGUUUGGUAUAUGUUGCGAUGUUAGUGUUAUGGCCUAUUGUAGAAUGGAUGGUCUAGCAACUUAGUGUCUAUUUGGUACUGUUGUUGGAGAUUUUAAGAUAGAGUUUUAAGUGAUUACCAGAUACUGAACUGCCAUAUCAUGGCUGCCACACAACAAUUUCAAACAGAGCCUAAAUAACUUCAUUGCAAAAUAGUUAAAUGAAUCUAACUUAGUUUGGUCAUUUGAUUUUCAGCUGUUUAUAACAAGGAAGAUGAUGUUGCAACCUUCACAAUCAAAGCGGUUGACGAUCCGAGAACCUUGAACAAAAACCUUUACAUUCAGCCUCCCGGCAAUAUUUAUUCGUUCAAUGAUCUUGUGUCUCUGUGGGAGAGAAAGAUUGGCAAAACCCUCGAAAGGGAGUAUGUUUCAGAAGAGCAGCUCCUAAAGAAUAUUCAAGGCUAGUUAAAACUCUCACUUCUAAAUGUUAUUAAAGAAAGCCGCGAAUUUUUGCCUUAUUGAUCCUGUCUUCUCCAAAAUGUUGCAGAAGCUGCACCUCCACUCGGGAGGUUGUUAUCAAUUUAUCACUCUGCUUUCGUGGAGGGAGUUCAAACGGACUUCAAGAUUGAACCAUCGUUUGGAGUUGAAGCCUCGCAGCUUUAUCCUGAUGUCAAGUACACUACAGUUGAUGAGUACCUCAAUCAGUUUGUGUAACCCUUCUCUGCUUCCAGCUGCAGCUUGCAGGAUCUUGGACUCUGGGUAAAUAAAUAAUGGGCUUGUUGCAAUCUUUGGUUUUUAUAUGUAAAAAUUAUGGUUGUUGGCCUUACUUUCUUCUGGUUGUCAAUGGAAUUUGUAAGACCAUUUUAUGUUUGCUAUGUCAGUGAUCAAAUGAAGUAGGCCAUGUACUUGAUCUGAGAAUAAUUAUAAAGCCAACAUGGUCAGGUGAGUGCGUCUGUGGGGCUUUUAUUAGGGUGCGUGUGUGAGGCUUCUGAGGGGCUUGUGAUAUGGGGUCUACAGCCCCUAAUGGGCACGCGACUGCGUGCACUAAAUGAAGUUAUUAUAAAAAUAAUUAUAGAGUCACCAAGGCAAAAAUUAAAAGUAAUUUGCCAAUAAAAAUAGUUAAAAGUAAUAAAAAGUAGGUAUUAUAUUUCAAAAAUCAAUUUUUCAUUAAUGUUUAUAAGAUUAAAUUUGUUCUUAUCUUUCCUUAAUAAACACAAAAAUUUAUCGUUUUGGACUAAUUAAAAUUUUAAAACUAGCUAACAAGCAAACCGCCAUUAAUUUUUUUUUUUCCAUUUCUUUAAUCAUUCUUUUUUCUCUUUUUGACCUUUUUCUUUUUCUUUUCUUCAGUCCUUAUUUUUCUUUUCUUUUUUGGUUUUCCUCUAAACUCUUUAAGAAAGGCUGCCAAGCCUUGAAAAUAUCUCAAAAAAUAAGAUUUUCUUUCUUAAGAUUAACAUUUUAACCACAAAAAUAAAACUCUAGUCCAAACAUUGAGCACUUACAAAUCAAACGAUAAAAACCUCUUAUUAGUACAUUAACCGUAAAAUAAAAAAGAAUUAUCACAAAUAUUGAAAUGUUGUUGUUUGAUGCUUGAGAUUCUUGAAAUGUAUGCAGAAUUCCGACAAUAUUUUGUUGAAGCAACUCUCGGAAACUUGUUUGUUGAGAUUGAUGAAGAGUCCAUGGCAAGUAACCAGGCAUAUUGCAAUCCUUGUAAUUAUUCUGACCGAGAACAAUAAAACAAAAAGUGAAAACUGAAGAAAAUGAUAAGAAAACAAUAGAAUAAUAAUAUUAAAAACUCGCUAAUCUUGCCCAAUUUUUUUUUUUUUUGGAUAAUGUUCAGCGUAUACUAGAAUCUUUUAGAGCAGAAGCAAAACAGCAACAACUUUUCAAGAAAAGAAAAAAAAAAAGAAUUAUUAAAGAAAAUGGAAAAAAGAAUUAACGGCAGUUUAUUUGAUAGCUUUUAGAUAGCCAAAACCGGUGAGUUUUUGUGUUUUAAUAAGGAUAGUUAGGAAUAAAUUUAAUCCUCUCUAUAGAAUCAUUUAGUUACUAUGUGUCAAAAUCUCCUGUAAAGAAUAGGAAAAAUUAAAUUAGAAGAGGAUCCAAAUCAGGACUUGACUAGCUUACAGAAUCUGUAAGCUACGGACUGCAGCAUCAGCCGUUGGAUGUGGUUGGAUGUGGAGUGAGAAAUUAAACAAUAGAAGAUCGGAUGGUGGGAUGACGGGAGAUGUUUGUUACAGAAUCUGUACCAUAGACAGGUCCUCCAAAUCAUCAACAUCUUGGAAUAAACAAAAGAAUCUAAACAAAAGAAACUCGUUUUGCGUGUGAACCAGUUCAAGAUAAAGAGCAGACUAUUGGAAAGAGACAAAUACUACAAGAAUAACAAAACAUUCUACAGUUACUACAUAAGCCUGCAACAAUUAAUUAUUAACUCAAGAUUUAUUACACUUUUUCUUUAAUUUGACAAAGAAACCAAAAAUGAAAUAAAAUUGACAACAGCAAUGAUAUGCUUACAACAAUGAGUAUGAAACUUAGUACAACAAGGACCUUUUUGCUAAUUUUUUCAAAUUUUUAUGAUAUUUUAGAAUUUAUGGGUUUUAUUGAUUUUGAUAAAUUGGAGCAUUUCUCCAUUCAUCUUUUCUGCAUCUAUCCCUAAAUUUCUUAUCUUUGUAAAGUUUUAACUAUGUCUUUGUAAAGUUCUAAAUGAUUAUCUCGUUCAUAGAGAUCUAUAGUUAAAUUAAUUCUUGUAUUUAUAAUCAUUUGUCUCCUUUGAGACAUAGACCAAAUUUUUUCUUCUAACAUUCCUAUGUAUAUUCCUAAGCUAUAUUUCCAGCUUAGGUACAUCUUAUCUAGGAUUUCACAAAUAAAUUGUAAUUUGAGAUCUGCAUCUUGAAUCAACAUCACCAUAUUAUUAUUAUUAUUAUUAUUAUUAUUAUUAUCCAUUGUUUUAUACUCGAUUUUGGGUUCUAUUACUAGUCGCACUUGUCUUGGAUUAUUUCAAGGCUAGAUAGAAUUGAUUCUAUUAAUGCUAUCCUGUUUCCUUCUUCAAAUGAAUCGAAUAUUUUUGGAUCAAUAAUUCUUUUCAUUUCUUCAUACAAGUGUUUGCUUGUAAUUAAUCUAGUUUUAACUAUGGAAAUUGUAUAAGCAACUUGAUAUUCUUGACUAAAGUCUAGAUGAUCAAUUGCGUCUAGAAAUUUAUUAACAGAUCUUUCCAUUUUUAUGAAAUUGAGUUACUUUUAUCACUUCCUAUCUUAUAACAUUUCAGAAUACAAACAAGGCCCAACAUGCUUCCAUUUGUUGCUAAAAUAAAAGAAUAGAGUUCAAGAUUACUAACCAGUGUACAUUUCUCGGAAUUCUAAGAUAGAUUCACUAAUUGCCUCCAACCAUAGAGAGGUCUAUGGUUAACUCCGCCAUAGCUCCACACAUCAUAUAAGAUCACUUCAACGACUGUUACAUAGGCCCAACGCAACAUAUAGCAAACGGGCCUAAAAGAAUAUGUCUAAGUGAUUUGCUUACAGCUGUCUCUGGAAGAGUGCUUAGUAGUAGAAAAUCUUCUUCCUUUAGCACAAGUAUUGGCAUGUAAGGUUCUUGGUUAUUUUCUAAGAGUAUAUAAGAUAUCUGGAAGAUGACAAUUUCGCUCAAAAGAGUUUUAUUUAUUUCAUCAUUGAAAUUAUUUACAGAGGAUGGUUACAGAGAAUACAGGUGUAGGUGUAGGUGUAGGUGUAGGUGUAGGUGUAGGUGAAGGUUAGGCAUGUGAUGUCCUUCCCUUCUUACAUGUUUCUAUUUAUAAUCUUAAAUAGAUAAGGUUAUCUCUUUUACAUGACACUUGUUUAAUUCUCUUGGUGGAUUGUGGAUUCUUUCCUGAUAAGGUGACCCUUCUUCUUUUUAUCAUUAAAGACAGUGGUUGUCUUCUUUUCCUGGUGGUAGACAGCCUUUAUCUGGUUGUAGUGUGCUUUAUCUUUUUGGAAUCUUUCUUUUUGAAUUAUUAAUGCUUUUAGGAUAGCACCUUUUAUCUUUUCCAAUGGUUCCUGUCACAUGCCAAGUAUCAAAUCUUCCUCUAGUGACAUGUCUUCCCCACUAGAAUCCUUUUUUGAUCCUUCGUAGCAGUAGCCACAUGAUGACUGAUGUUUUAGCACCUUGCAUACCUCGUGAUGUGUCAGUAAGCUGGAUUCCACGAGAUUUUCAUAUAUUGCCUUUUUCUUUUUUGAUAUGGCCUGUCUGGCUAAAAUGCUUUCUUUUCUACUUAUAGAAAAGAUUAUAUGCUCCUUUGUGGCUUCGUGGAGCCAUAUUUUUUCCUCACUUAUCCUCUCAAGAGAUUCAUAGAGGACUUUCAUUCCUACGGCUCUUUUGCUGGUGAGAGCUUUGGGUUCGAAAAAUUCAGGAUCAUAAUCAUUAUAGACUUGAUCUAUAUCAAUAGUUGGACUAACUUUUUGCUGCUAAUUCUAACUUAAAUCAUGUGCUGUGCUACCACUUGUUUUCACCGUAUUAAGGGCAAGCAGUGAGGAUCUUGAUAAAAAUUAGUUCUUUUGUUUUGGAUAUCCUUUUGUGGUCAUUAACAGCCUCUGUAUUUUUUUCUAGGAGCUCUUUUAUUUUCCUACAAUCAUCACGGACAUAAACAAGGUUAAGAAAACCGUAUUCAAACAUGUCUUUUAUCAAUUUUGGAUAAGCUCCUAGCACAAAUUUUAUCCUUGGGUAUAACCCUGAAUGAUAUGGUAUUAUAGUCUGGUUAUGAUGAAUCACAUAAGUUAUUUUACCAAUUCUUUUAUAAUUAUAAGCGUUGUCGCUUCCUAAUGGAUUUUUAACCAUAGGAACAGACUGUCCGCUUUUAUUAUAUUGGGGCCUUAAGCUCACUGAAGACCUUUGAGAUUCUUCUUUCUUCAUAUAUUAUUCUUUGAGAUCAUUGAUUGUGAGAAAUUUCUCUAGAUGUGUGACCUUUGAGUUCUGUGAAGAACUCUGGGCAAUCUGAUCCUUAGUUUGAUCCUUAAAAUGGACCUUUUUUUAGCAUAUUACUAAUAGAUUGUUAUGAAAUUUGGACUUCUGGAUGAUUUUGCAAACUUUUCUAUAGGCAAAGUUUGCUCAAUUCUUCAUGGGCAUCAUCUAUCAUGGCAAGCCUAUUAUAAAUUAUACCAUUGCCUUUGAGAAGCAAUUCUUGACCUUCAGAGCACAUUAUUAUGCCCUUAAUUAUUUUGGAAAGACCCUUCUCCAUUGUAUUCUCGGCUAAGAAAAUUUGCAAUAGAAUUGUUAGAUCCUUUAAUAUAUUCAAUUUCAAAAUCAUAUUCAGCAAAAAAACCGUUGCCAUUUAAUUAAUCUUUUAUAUUAAGGGAGAUUAGGCAAUUUAUUAAAUAUAAAUCCUUUAACUCGAGUGUUAUCAGAUCUUACCUUGAAUUUCUUUGGUAACAAAAAAAAGUAAAUUUAGCUAUUCCAUUUUUAAUAGUUAACAGUUCAUUUUCAUUACUAUGAUAAUUCUUCUAUGCGGGUUUGAAUGUUCUGGUGGCAUAUCUACAAAUCUUUUCUUGAUCUGUUUUUAAGACUACACCCCAGUAAUUAUCUGAAGCAUCGGUCUCAAGAAUUAAAUUAUCACUAGAAGUAGGGAAUCCUAAUCUUGGAAGAUUUUUACAUUUUUCUUUCGAUUUUUUUACUACUUUGGUAUGGAGAUCUUUCCAUGAUUUAGUAUUAUUCUUUUUUAAUAAUCCUUGUAAAGAUUGUCUUUCUUUAGCUAAGUUUUCUAUGAAACCUUCAGCAUAAUUAAGAUAUCCUAAAAAUAUUUGAAUUUGUUCUUUAGAUUCUAAUUUAUUUGGGAAUAGAUAUAUUUUCCAAAAAUAUGAGGUUGCAUCUCAAUUCCUGUUUCAUCUAUUAUUAACCCUAGAAAUUCUAUCUUGAGUUUCAUUAUUUCAGCUUUCUUUUUAGGGAGUAAUAUUCCAUGUUUCUUGCAUUUCUCUGCAAAAGAAACGAGAUGAUUAAUAAGAUAUAUCUUAUUAUCUGAAAAUAUAAAAAUAUCAUCUAAAUAAACAAUGUAGAAUUCAUGAAAUUCUUUGAAGAUUUGAUCCAUCCUUCUUUCAAAUAUUUUUGGUGCAUUUUUCAAUCCAAAAGGCAUUACAAUCCAUUCAUAUUAUCCUUGAGGUGUACUAAAGGCAGUAAGUGGUAUACUUUCUACUUUAAGUUUGAUAUGUCAAAAUCCAGAUUUGCAAUCAAACUUGCUAAAUGUCUUUUUAUCGGUCACGGAGAUAAUUAAUGUAUCUUUAUAAGGUAAAAAAUAUCCAUUGAAUUUGGUAUAUUUAUUUAAUUCUUUGUAGUUAAUAACCAUGCGAGCUUUUCCUCAUUUAAUUUCUACAUGAUUUCUAACCAUAAAGGCUGGACUACUAUGAGGACUUUUAGAUUUCAAAUAAUCUUAAGUUCUAAUAACUCUUCAAUUUUUUUUAUCAAAUUCUUGUCCAUGUUCUUGCCCAUCUCUCAUAGGCUUAACUCUUAUGAUACCAUUUAGAUCUGUUAAUUCGAUCUUAGCAUAUGUUUAAUCAAUUUCUCAUAAUUGAAUUGGGUUUUCACCAAAAUUUUUAUCAAGUUUUUCUAAAAUUUUUUCAUAGUCUAACAUGAUUUGAAUGAUUUUUAUAGUGUAAUCAACACACUGACUGUGUCGAAAAUGUAAUUUUUGAGUUGUGCGCCUAACAAGGUUAUAAAUUCUCGGGGUAGUAAUGGAAUGAUUACAUGGUGUUUUGAGAGUAAUGGCUUCAUUAGUCAUUAUAUAAAUGAAUUGACGAAGGAAAUUAACUCCUAAAAGUAUAUAUGUUCCCAUAUGAUCAUAAGACCAGAAUAUAGGGAUACUUAAGAUGUAAUCUUCGAUUUGGAUUAAAGUCUUAAUCCUACAAGUCCCUAAGGUGAUCUGUUCAUCAUUUGUUCCUUAUCCUUUUAAAGGCUUAUAAUCUUUCCAAUAUGGUUUUGGAUAAAUCCUAGAACUGGCAAAACUAACUCCUAAACCAGUAUCGAUUAAAGCAUAAAACCAUUCCAGUUUAUGUUUAUAAUAUGGUAUAAUCACUUUUAUAUAAAUUAUAAAAGGAUUAGACAUAUCUUGAUAUGGUUUGCUUAAUUCCUUCAAUUGUUAUACUUAUUUCUCUAUCUCCUGUACAAUAAGGAGAGAAAUUCUAAAGAAAGUUCAUCCCUAAUAAUAAAGGAUUUAUUUCUGUUUCAUAAUAUGGUUCUAUGAAAAAAGGAAAGAUGAAUUUUGUUCCUUUUAUUUUUAAUGGUAUUUUACAAUAUUUUCUUAAUGUCUUUCUUUCUCUAUUAAAUCCUACAUAAGUAUGAGGUUCAAUUAGAAUUUUUCUUUCUAAAUAUUUAAUCAUUUUAGCAUCUACAUAAGAUUUUGUAGCUCAUGUAUCAAGGAUAGCAAAAGUCUCGUGCCAUGAUUUUCCAUUAUUAUAGUCAAUCUUAAUUUUUAGAUUUUGAUUAUUUUUUCUAAUUGUGGCUAAUAUUUCAUGUGAUGGUGGUGUCACAAGAUGACUACAUCUAGUAAAACUUUGGGUUCCUCUGAAUUUUGGUUCUCUUUUGGGUAUAGAGAAUGAUCUUUUAUGUCUUAUAAUGAUUCUUCCUUCUGGAGUAUAUUCUAUAGAUUUAGUAGUAUUUCCUUUAAUCAGAGUAGGUUGACUACUUAGAUUCAUUUUCCAUUCUUAUGAUAAAUAUAUUUCUCUCUGGAUUUCAGGAUAUUUUAUAUUUCUAACUUUACUAAAUAAUUUAUCUAUUUCAAUAAAAUAUUUAUUAGCAAACAUUUCACUAUUUGCUGAAUUUGUUAAUGCAUAUUUUAUGGCAUACAUUAUGCUAUAUGGAUAAGACCCCUCAUGCAUUAUAUCAAAGUAUUUAAAAUCAUGACAUAAGGUUAAUGUUUUAUUUAUAUUUCUAUCCCUAAGACUUAUAGAAUAUUUAGGAUAUAUCUUAAAUAUCAAUUUUUUAUAACUCAAGUUUCCUUGUAUUAUUCUAGGGACUGCAUGUUUUCGAUCUUGUAUUCUAUUAUCUAGUACUGCUAAAAUUAUUGGACUAUCUAUUCCUUCCCGAAAAUGAGCUUUUAUCAUAAACUGAAUUCCUCCAAUAUGAUCAUAUCCAAUUUUGGGUCUAUUGCUAGAUUUUAUCUUACUGAUUUUAUCUUCUAUAUCAGUCUUUAAUAAUAAUGGUAUAUUUGUAUUUCCCUUAGCAUACCUAAUUUCAAUAUGUUCUUCUCACACAGUAGCACUGAAAUACAUAACAUUUUUUCUUUUAAUCAUGGUGGCAAUUCCUAGAGCUAACUUAUUGACUGAAGUCAAGGAUGAUUCUAAUCAUUUUUUUGUUAAUCUUGAGGUAUUGUUUUUUUUUUUUAUCAAAGAUUAAUUCUUUGUUAAAAGAACCUUGUUCUUCUAAUUCUUCAUCUUGAUAUAAAUGCUUAUUAUCUAAUUCUUCUAUACUCAUUCCAAAUAUGAUUUUGAAUCUGAGCUACUUAAAGUUUCUUCAGAAAGAUAAUAUAUGCUAUCACUUUCACUAAUACCUUCACUAUCUGUGAUUAAUUCUAAAUCAUUAAAAUCCUCAAACAUUUUUAUAUUUUCUUUUUUCUUUUUAGGACAUUCAUUUGUAUAAUGCCCUUCUUCAUUACAUAACCACCACUUGCAUUCUUUAACUACAUUGGUUUUAAAUCUUCUUUUAAAUUUAUUUUUCUUGUAGAAUUUCUUCUUAUAUUUAUUUUUCUUGUAAUAUUUCUUGUUGCCUUUAAAGAAUCUCUUCUUUUUGAAUUUAUUCCUAUAUUUAUAAGUUUUAUCUGAACAUCCAAAUCUUGGUGGAUCUUCUAACUUAGAGCAAAACAAUCCUUGAUUUAGCCUUUUCAUAAGUCUGUUAUCUCUUAUUUCAGCACACCAUUCACUCAUUCUAUUUCGAGCAAACCUAAUCUUAUUUCCUAAGGUAUCAGUCUCUGUUGUAUCUUCAUAUUUGUUGUUAUAUUCUAGCAUAAUCCUUUUCUCCCAUGGGUCUGGUAUCCUUAUAAAAUAUAGAUCUUAGUAAUAGCAUAUGCUACUUUCAUCUAAUUCACAUUUAUAAUAUAAUUCUUCAAAGCUACACGUGUAUUCUUCUAAAUAACAUAUAUUACAUAUUUCAAGCCUUGUUAGUUUUAUUACAUUUUCCAUCUUUUUUUCACUUUAUUUCUUAUUGAAAACCAGUUUCUCAAUCUUCUCCUAGGAAUUUUUUUCUUAUUUCAUUUUCAAAUCUAUUUAAAACUUGAUCCAAGCUUUCAUUUUGAUUAUUAUUUUCUCCAUACAAUAUUUUAUUUUUGUUAUUAUCGUUUAGUCCCAUAAACGAAUGUGACACUAUUCCUACAAAUGAAGUUUUAAGGAAUUCUAUACUAUUAUUCCUAUCUAUUUUGUUAAAUACAAAUGCCGUUUUCAUAGAUUUAACCCAAGCGAUAAUCGUUUUAUCUCUAUCUUUGACAUAGUCUAAAUCUAACCAUACUCCAUCAUGGUUGAUUGGUCUCUCUCUAUAUUUUCCUGGAGUUUUAUAAUUUUUUUAGGCUUGUUAACCCUAAAAUAUUGAUGUUGUGAUCUUUCAUGAGCUAGUAUUUCUUCUCUAGUAUAGGAAGCUCUAUUACUAGAUUCUCCUUGUUAAAAAACCGUUGGUUUUGAUUCAUUCAUUUUUAAUUGUUCUAUUCUAUUUUCAAUAUCUCAUAAGUUAAUGAGUACAUCCUCUUCCUCUUCGGAUUUAGAUUCUUCAUUGGAUAUUUCUGGAUUGUAUAAUUCUUUUAAUCCAUUGUCUACAUUUUCACUUAGCAUCCUUAAACUUAUUAAUUUUUUAUCUUAGUUUUUUGUUAAAUAUUGUCUAGAUAUUGCUAUCAUUUCUUUAUCUUUCUUUUCGUUGUAGUAAAUUAUGGUGUCUUGUAAGGUUUUAUUUUUUUUUCUUGAAUUACCAUGAGUAAUUCUUCCAUAUUGUUAUUUAUCUUUUGUAUUUCAAUCCUUUUGUAGUUUUCUAUGAAAAAUUAUUUCUAUACACCUCUCUCCUAAUUCUAAAUAGGAGAAUAGGAUCGAUGUUUAAAUUUCUAUUCUUUAUUAUUUUGAGUUCUCCAAUUCUAAAUUCAUGAGCUCUAGAUAAAUAAAAUUGUUCUAAUUGUUUAUCAUCUAAUAUCUCAAGUUUUGAAUAAUAAUAUUGUUUAUGUUUAGUUAUGUUAUCCUUUAUAGUAUUACUAUCUACCAUUAGAUUAUAUCCCCUAUUAUUAAUAAAAUAAACAAUUGUUUCUUCCAUUUUUAUAUUUUGAACCAAAAAUCUGGUUCUGAUACCGUUUUUGCAGACAAUUUUCAAUCCUAAGAUCCAAGUAAGGAUGUAAAUGAUUAAUCUUUAAAAUCUUAUGAAUAUUUUACAAUUUUGCUUUUUUAAAACACACAGUUUUAUGCUAGGUGUUGUGCAAUCUUUUGUAAAAAUUCAUGAACCAAUACUAUAUUGACUUCUCCUAAAAUGCAUAGGUUUGUUAUGAAAUUCUAAGUGUACAACCCAAAAAGUGGGGUGAAUUGGGUUUUUAAAAAUUUAAGCAAUUAUAACCACACAAAAAUUUCAAUUAAUGUCUUAUUUGAUUCAAUAACAAUAAUUUUAACAAUGAAUAAAGUAAAGAGAUGAGGGAGAAGAGAGCAAACAUGAGAUUUUUACAUGGUUCAGCAAAACCUGCCUACGUUGACGCCUCCAAGCUCACUAUGCUUGAAGAUUUCACUAUCCAAGCAUUACAACCCUAAGGCUUCAAGAUGCUUACAAUUGAUUUCUAAGGUUUCCAUGGACCUUUACAUCCAGAGGUUCUCUCAAACCUCUUAACCAAGUGUUUCUCACACUUACAACCACUUAAUUGUGAUAUUGAAAAAAAGUUACACAAAUUUUCCACUCACACAAUAUAUGUGUUUACAACUAAAAGCCUAGAGUGUGUUUCAAUGAAAGAAUAAAAACAUUUAAGCUCAAGACAGAUUAAACAUGCAAAAGUAAGCUCAAUGCCAAUUUUUGAAUUCGUUAUUGAUUGAAUAUGAUUAAUCCUUUUGAUAGUUGGAGCUGAAAACUAGCCGUUAUUGACUUUCUGCACAAGGUCGGAUCAUCGUUAAUACUUAUCGGACUGCUGUUUUGACUUGAUCAAGUUACCGUUAGGCGAAAAUCUAAAUUUUCGGAUCACCAUUUUCGAGACAUUGAAUUGUUGUUAGUUUCUAGUAACAUUGCGAGAAAAUAGUUGGCUUACCGUUUUCAAAAUGUCAUAUCGUCGUUAGUUUCCAAAUCCAUUCGAUGUCGGUUAGCCAUUUGCUACAUUAACUGCUACAUUGAAACUAUUUUUUAAAAUUAUAUUUUUGCCAUGCUUUCUAUAAUUAUACUGUAGCCCAAAUCUUCAUAAUACUUUACAAAUAGGUCCAUUUUCAGAGUUUCAAAACAUACUUUUUAUUUCCAAAACUUUAUGAAAUUAUACUAUAACCCAAAAAUAUAUAAAAUAUUUCAAAUAGGUUCAUUUCUAGAAUUUUAAAACAAUACUUGUUGAUUUCAAAGUUCUCAAAACUUUUUAAAUUUAGAGCAUUAACUUCAAAAUAACCAAUUUCAUAAAAUCAUUUUUUUCAUUAAGAUUUAUGAAAAAUGACUUGAGCUUUUAAAUGCUUAAGCAUGCAUAUAUUUAAUCAUACUAGCUUUACAAGAAAUGUAACAAGAGAAAUCACCUAAGCUAGUACCUCUAAUGCUUGUUCUUGACUUAGUGAGCUUUUUACCUUCGUCUAUUUGAGUGCCUUGAACUUGAUCACACACACACACACACACACACACACACACACACACACACACAUAUAUAUAUAUAUAUAUAUAUAUAUAUAUAUAUAUAUAUAUAUCAUUUUAUCCUUUUAUCCUUAACACGUGGUUUGUUAUUAUCAAAACCCAAGUUCGUACAACCGCUUAGGCCAACAUGUUACUCCCAAUCAAUUGACUUCUGACAUGACUACUUCCAAAAUGGCUAGUACCAAAAGGGAAUCCUUCUGGGAUGAGAAUUGAAAAACAUGCCUCUUCUAGCACUAAAAUUACUCCUUCCACCUAUAUUUCCACUAUAAUGUCCUUAAAAUCCUCCGGCAUAUCCACCUCUUUUAGUAUUGCCUCCUAUUUGUGCAUGAUAGUAAUUAAUUAUGCCAUAGUUAUUAUGGUUAGCAAAGUUAGCACAAUUUGCAUUGAAUAUGUGUUUUUCAUUAUGACUUUGUUCAAGUCUUGCCUCUUGAGUAAGCAAUAGAGCAUACGCACCAUCAUAAUAUAACUUGCUAGCAGUAAUAAAAGUAGAUAAAUGCAGAUGGCUAGCUCCAAAACUAUUGAGAAUUUGUUAAACAUAUCUUUAUCAGAAAUAGGACUACCAACACAUGUCAAUUUAUCUGCUAUUUAUUUAAUCUUUAAGCAAUACUCUUCUAUGCUUAGUGACUUUUUUUCUCAAAGCAUUCAUCUCAUAUCUCAUUUGAAGAAUCCUACCCUCAUAAUGUUGCCUAAACUUUUUCUGUAAUGUUUUUCAUACAUCAAGUAAGGUGUUAUAAGAAUGAACAAGACCGAGAAUACCUUCAGUGAUAGAGCUGAGUAACUAGCUAAGUAAUGUGUGAUCUUGAGAUCUCCAAACAAUGAACUCAGGAUUUUCAAUCUGUUAAGUAGAUGCAGCAACUGCUCUAGCAUAGCUGAUGAAUCAAUGAAUUGAUUUGGUGCUUCAUUUUCUCUAGUUAUGUAUCCUUCGGUUUCCUCUUAUAAAAGCUAGAACUUGAUUUUGCCACAGCAUGUAAUUUGAUCAAUCGAAUGUGAUUGGAGUGAUGAAACAGAAUGUUGUUUGCAUUGAUUGAUUUGUAGAGAUUGCAAUUGAAUUUGUGCUUACAUUGCUUGAGCUUGCCAUUUUGGCUCAGAUACCAUGAAUAAAUUAUUGGAAGUUGAGUUAUAGUUGCUGUUUAACAGCUGAGAAAAUAGAGGAAAAUUCUCUGGAAAUUCUAAAUGUUUCCUAUUGAGCAAACGAAAGAUUAACAUACUAUAUAUAUACAAGUUUCUAAAUUGUUUCUAGCUAAUUUACAGUACAGCUAAUCAAUAGAUUUGAUCCAAAGUAAAACUAAUUAGUUUCACACAUAAGGAGCACGUGAAUCCAUCAUCGUUGCAUAAUCGAACAUGUUGACUUAGCUGCUGACUUGGCAUUGACAGCUGAUUUGCUUCUUUUUUGUAACUCUGGAUAGUGUGCUUUCUUCACAAGUUUCCCCAAAUCUCCAUUAUGUACAGCUUCUGCAAAAAUUUCCUAACCAAACCAUUUAUUUGUAAUUUCCUCUUGUGUUGGCCCUAUGCCAUCAUCAAGUGGUACCGUGAGAGGAUUUCCAUCUAGAUUACCCUGAUCUUUGUCUGAAUCAUAACUAGUAUGCAUAGUGUUUUCAUCCUCAUCACCCUGCGCAGCCAAAACAAAAUGCUUAACAUUACAUAUACAGUAAAACCUCUCUAUAGUCAUAUUGUUGGGAUUAAACUAAUUUUAUUAAUAUGAAGAUGUUAUAAACUUAAUGGAAAUUCAGUGACAAAUCUAUUGAUUAGCUGUGCUACUUUGAUAAUUAAUUAAUGAAGCAUGUCAAAUCUAAUGCAUUGACAUUGAUAAAAGAGGUAAACAUAUAAUUUAAAAAACUAGUACUUAUAUCUAUCAUCUGUGUAGUAUUGGGAACAUGCAAAGUCUUCUUAUUGAAAAUCUAAAGAAUAAAUUAUUAUCCAAAAUAAUUUCAGAAAAAUAUUAUAUUUCAUCUUAAAUCUUUCAUGUAACAUAGCAAAUUUUUUUUUUUUUUGCUCAAUAUACAUAUUAGUAAUACUGUGUGGAUGCGUGUUCCUUAAGAUAUGCUCUAUAAAAGUUGUUAACUUAUUACAAUGUGAAGUUUGUUCUUAUUUAUAAUUGGCUUAAAGCAGGAAUAAGAUUUUUUGUGACUAUUGGACGUUGUUCUUAUAAAAUGUAUCACUACAGAGAGAUUUUAUUAUAAUUCUAAACCGAGAAAAGAAAGUGUAAUCCUAAUAAAUCACCAUCGAUUAGAGCUAUAAUGAAUUAAGCUUUACAAAGAAGAAGAAGAAAGAUUACAAUGUGAAGGCAACAAGAAUCAUGACAAAGUGAGAAAAAGAGAGGCCACAUAAGCCCCAAGGGAAAUUGAGAUUUUAUAACACAGCCUAAUUGCAGAAAGCAUAGGCGAAAAACAGGUGCUUGAUUGCAAACAUGCACACGCGCGCGCGCACACACAAUUUGACCACAAAGACCGCAUACCUUUGAGAGUUGGUCCUCUGGGGCAUAGGCAUUUUUCGCACGUUUUCGUGCUUCCUCCUUUUAUGGCCACGUAGUUUUCGUAAGCUUGAUCAAGAAACUCCUCCAAUUGUUCAUCAUACCUAACACCAAAAAAAUGUCAUAAGAUCACAAAGGCAUAAGUUGAUAGAUAUAUUUGUCAAGAUAAUGCGACAGAAGAUAUAGGUAGAAAAGAAUUACUUUCUGCAUUCUUUAUCAGAGUCACUGUCACUGGACAAUUGCUCUUGAGUGUCUCUAUCGGGUCUCUCAUCUUCACAGCCCUCUGCAGUAGCAUUCUCAUCAUCAUCAUCAUAUUCAACAGCAGCAAGAUCUUUUUUACCCUAAACCGAUCAUUCAAGUUUAUAAAAGAAUGAGAUACUUGCCUUAGACCACACUUUUGAAUUGGAAAAAACUAAUAAAUCAAAAUUGCAACUAAUAUUGUCCUACCCAGCCAUUUUUCAUUUAUCCUGAUGUCAAGUACACUACAAUCGAUGAGUACCUCAGUCAGUUUGCGUAACCCUUCUCUGUUGAGUUGUAGCUUGCAGGAUAUUGGGAAAUAAAUAAUUGGCUUGUUGCCAUCUUUGGUUUGUAUCUGUAAACAUUAUGGUUGUUGGCCUUACCUUCUUUUGGUUUUCUAUGGAAUUUGUAGCACCAUAUUUUGUCCACUAUGUCAGUACACCAGUGAUUAAACAAAGUAGUCUCAUGUGCUUGAUCUAAAAAUAAUUAUAAAGUCACCAUGUGGUUGAUCUAAAGAUAAUUAUAAAGUCACAAACACAGAAAAAUUAAAAGUAAUUCAUAAACAUUUGUCAUGUGAAAUUUACUUAAUGGAAGAGAAAUUCUAGGAAACAACUUUAUGGUGAGAAAACUCUAAAAAUCAAACCGAAAGAUAUAUAAUAAAUAAUUUUAUAAGAAUUAGGCUAUGUUUCAAAUAAUAUCACAUAUAGUAAAUUUAUGAGUUGUCGCUCAUCAUAACUCAAUUGUUUCACAUAUUGUAAUUCUUUAAUUUUGAAUAACAACAUAUGUUUCAUAAGAUUUAAAAUGGUAUGACUCAUUUUAUAAUAUUUUUAACUGAAUUGAAAUUCUGCAACUAUAAAAAUUGAAAAGAAUGAACUUGGCGGUAUUACGCUUAUAGUAUUGUUUCUUAUGGUGAACCAAAAGCAAGCCAAAAUUACGCUUACAUCAUCUUACUCUACCGUAAAACUUAUUUAUAAUCAUAACGGUAACACUAAAUUAAUUUUAUUACUGUGAGAGUUUAAUAUUUAAUAGAGGUGUAGUUACAAAAAUUAUUAUUUUAACUUAAUUAUUUUUUGUGCAAGUGAUAUAGCGAUAAAAUAUGCACUAUAUUAAUAACUAAUUAAUACAGCAUGUCAAAUUCAAUGUACUAACAAUGAUGAAAAAGAUAGGCAUAGUUUGAAAAAAACUAGUACAUAUAUCUUUAUAGUGCUGGAAUUAUGUAAAAUCAUCUUGAAAGUCUAAAGAAUAAAUGAUUGUACAAAAUAAUUUUAGAAAAAUAUUUUACUUCAUCUUAAACCUUUAACAUAAUAAGGGAUAUAUUUUUUACAAUAUACCGAUAAUUAUUACUAUUAGAGGUAACUUUCUUAAAACCGGAUUUAAAAAAAUUAUAAUUUAUCAUAAUAUAGAGUUUAUUCUUAUUUAUAAUUAUUAGGCUUGAUAAUCGACUGGGUCGUGUUUGGGCCAUGCCAAGCUCUAGCCCAACUAGGGGUGGCAAAACGAAUAAACGAAUCGAAUUUGAAUCGAAUCGUAAACGAAUUGGGUCAAAAUUAUAUGGAUUCGGAUUCGAUUCGUUUAUUAAACGAAUUGAAAUUUCAGGAUUCAGAUUCGAUUCGGUUAUUAAACAAAUAUUCGGUUCAAUUCGUUUAAUUCGUUUAAUAGAAUUGAUAAACGAAUCGAAUCGAAUCCGGAUUCGUUUAUUAUUCGCUUAUCCUUUACGAAUCCAUAACGAAUCGAAUCGAAUCAGGAUUCGUUUACAAUUCAUUUAGAAAAAUAUAAUUAAUAAACAAAAUUAAGCAAAAAAAACACAAAUUUAAUAUCCCACAACAAAAUACAAAUAAUUCAAAUCAUAUUAUACAGUCAUCCAAAUACUAAAUUACAAAUCCUUAAUAUUACAAAUAACAAUAAUUCAAAUUCAAAUUAUAAAGAAAUGUAAUUUCUUUAAUUCUCUUCAUUUGUCUUUGUCGCCUUGAAAACAAAAAUCCUACACCAAAAAGUAAAUAAAAUGUUAUUAACAUGCUGCAAUAUUGAUAAUAGUCAUUGUAAAAUUUCAAAAAUCAAAUAUAUAGCAAAUUUGUAGCAUUUUCAAGAAAAUAAUAAUUAAACAAGAUAAAAACUUUACCUACCACACUCACACACUGUCAUUUGGAUCAUUGGCACUCUCUGCAGAUGGAGCACAAUUAGUGCUCAUGUUCAUAAUGUUUUGAGUAAGUUGGUCCACAGUGACAUCCAAAUUUUCUACAAUAAUUUUAUAAAAAUAAAUCUUAAUUAGAAACAAUUGCACAUAAUAUUAUAAAAGAAAAGUAAAUAAAUUUUAUGAGCAAGUUUUACCAAUCUCUCCAAACUUCCAAUCUCUAGUAGUAAUAAUUGCUUGAACUAUCUCUAGUAGUAAUAAUUACUUGAACUGUCUCUGGCUUCAAUACACUUCAAAAUUGAUCAAGAACUCAACCGCCAAACAACAACAAAACAACAGUAAAACAGCAACAAAAUAGCAGCAAAAUAGUAGUAAAACAACAACAAAAUAUCAGUAAAAUAGCAGUAAAACAACAACAAAAUAGUGGAAAAAUAACAAAAAAAAUGGUAGCGAAACAGCAGCCAAACAACAGCAGUAAAACAGCAGCGAAACAGCAGUAAAACGACAGUAAAAUAGCAGUAAAUCAGCAACAAAACAACAGCAAAACAGUAAUAAAACAGCAACAAAACAGCAACAAAACAACAGCAAAACGGUAAUAAAACAGCAAUAAAAGGCAAAUUUUCAGUGGUGUACCGUGAUGGUGGGUAGUUAGCGCGGCGGGAAGUGGUGCUGGGGAUGAAAACCUUCAAAUUUUAAAAAGCUUUCAAAUAAAUUUAAGGAUAAAAAAGUAAUUUAAUUAAACGAAUAAUAAACUAAUCGACCCGUAUUCGAUUGGUUUAUGACCGAUUUAUUAAACGAAUAAACGAAUCAAAAUUUUCAAACCUGCAUUCGAUUCGUUUAAUUAACGAAUCGAAUCGAAUUCACCCAUUUAUUAAACGAAUCAAUUUUUUCAAACUCAAACCCAUUUAAUUUGCAUCGAAUCGAAUCAAAUAAACGAAUCCUGACCCAUAUUGCCACCCCUGCCCAACCCUAUGAUUAAAAUGAAGGACUCUAAUACUAAAAAGCUUGACCCUUCAAACUAAAGAACAACCUGGCUUUAAUAAUUUUUUUAUAUUUUAUUUUUUUUUUUAAGAAUAUGACUCCUAUUCUUCAUUCUUUAGUAAUAUUAUUAUUAUUAUUAUUGUUCCUUUUUUUUGUUGGAUUUGUUUGUAAGGAAUUUAAUAAAUUAUUUUUUAUUUAACUUAACAACAAUAGAACGUUUAACAAUCUAACAAAAUUAAUAUAUUAACCAAGCAAUAGGUAAAUAAAUCAAAUACAAAAUAACAAAAUUAAUAUGAAAUAGAGAUAAAUAUCCCUAAAGUGUAGUUGUGACCAUCUAUGUGUAUGUGUGUUUAAUAAUAUUUUUAUUUUAAAAAUUAAUUUAAAGAUCAAGAGUUGAGUUAAAACAUUUUGGUAAAACUUUAACCCUAACCCAAAUGUAAUUAGGUCCUGAUUCCUUAAGCCCUAACCCAACGUUUAACCUUUCAAAUUCGAGUCAAAACCAUUAAAAUUAAGAUCGAAUCAAUCAAGUCGAGGGUCGGAUAAAACCUUUUUGUCAUCCUAAAAAUUACCCUAAAUUAAAAUCAAAAUUUUUUAAAAUUAUAUAAAAAUUAUUCUUAUACACAGUAACAAUAUACGACCCAACAAGAAAUGAACCUGGACGCAUUAGGGCUUUGAUCCACAAACAAACUUUCAAAACCCUCUUAGACCUCAAGAGCAUUUUAGUCCAUUUAAUCAAAAGUAAAAGUGCGGCUACCAGCUAACUCUCCGGAAUUGAACUGAACGAGUUUCAGAAAUGGCAUCGAAAAGCAAGAUUCUAUCCAUCGGCGGGACAGGGUAUAUCGGUAAAUUCAUCGUGGAAGCUAGCGUGAAAGCCGGCCACCCGACGUUCGUGCUCGUGAGGGAAUCCACAGUCUCUGGUCCUUCCAAAUCUCAGCUCCUCGACCACUUCAAAAACCUCGGCGUCAAUUUCCUUGUCGUGAGUUAUCAAUUUUUUUUUUCAUUUUUUUAAUUCCAAAUUUUGACACGUGGCGGUGUAGCCUCUACUUGAUAGACUUGGUUUUUUUUUUUAAUUUAAUUUUUGUGGGUGCUGUUAUUAUUAUGCAGGGAGAUGUUUUGAAUCACGAGAGUUUGGUGAAGGCGAUAAAACAAGUGGACGUGGUGAUAUCAACAGUUGGUCACACUUUAAUAGCCGAUCAGGUCAAGAUUAUUGCUGCCAUUAAAGAAGCCGGUAACGUUAAGGUAUGACAUAAUUAAUGUAAAUGUCUUAGAUUCCGAUCAGGAUUGUGCACUCGUGCACACGUGGUGAUUUAUUCUUCGUGUGGAGCUCGCUGUAGAGUAGAGCUCCCAGUUCCGCUAAUAAACACCCGUCACAUGCGCAAUUGCGCCUCAAAAUAAUUUAAUUAAUUAAUUAGGUAUAAACACCGAUGGCAUGAAAGCAAUUAAAAUUAGUUGAUGUUUAUAAAUUAUUUAUUACUCAGAGAUUCUUCCCAUCGGAAUUUGGAAAUGAUGUUGAUCGAGUCCAUGGCGCCGUGGAGCCAACAAAAUCGACGUAUGACGUAAAGGCGAACAUCCGCCGAGCCGUUGAGGCAGAAGGCAUUCCGUACACGUACGUAGAAUCUUAUUUUUUUGAUGGCUACUUCCUCCCUAAUUUGUUGCAGCCUGGGGCCACUGCCCCCCCUAGGGAUAAGGUUGUCAUCUUCGGCGAUGGAAAUCCAAAAGGUAACAUAAUUUAAUUAAGCUCUGUUUGUUUGGUAUGUAUUUCGGUGUUAAUGUUAUUGUCUGUUGUACAAUGGAUGGUCUUGCUUGGUACUGUUGUUGGAGAGCUGCAGUGUUUUGAUAAACACCUCUAUCCUUAGCUUUCAAGUUAAGUUGAUUUUAUACAACACUUGUUUAAUUAAAAACUUGUAAUAUUCUUACUACUUUGAUAAAAAAAAUAUUACGAUUAAAGUAUUAAUGGCACCAUAAUACGAAGUGAAUCUUAAGUGGUCAUUAUAGAUUUUAAGAUAGAGUUUUAAGUGAUUACCAGAUACUUUAGCUGCUGAACCGCCACAUCAUGGUUGCCACACAACAAUUUCAAACAGAGCCUAAAUAACUUCAUUGCAAAACAGUUAAAUGAAUCUAACUUAGUUUCGUCGUUUGAUUUUCAGCUGUUUUUAACAAGGAAGAUGAUAUUGGAACCUACACUAUCAAAGCGGUUGAUGAUCCGAGAACCUUGAACAAAAACUUUUACAUUCAGCCUCCCGGUAAUAUUUACUCAUUCAAUGAUCUUGUGUCUCUGUGGGAGAGAAAGAUUGGUAAAACCCUCGAAAA